AUGGACUGCCUUUUAGACAUUAUAAGUCUUGCUUUGUUCCCAGUGAUAUUCACAUAGAGAGAACCUUAGUGACUCAGUGCCCACUGCGAUGAUGCCUGUUUGUCAUUAAAAAUUAUAUGUAAGGCAAGACAAAACCGGCAGAAGGCUGGGAGAAGAAUGUCAGGUCUCCCUCUCUCAGGCUCUGGGCCUCGUAGGUCCCCCUUCCAGUUACUGGGCACCUGAGGAGAUGUGCAAGUUCAGGGACUCUGGAGACGCUCAGAGUGUGAACACCUGCAGGCGGGCCAGCUAGGCCAGGUUAACACCUGCAGCUAAUUGGGGCAGACAGGGCUAGCACAGCUUCCUGGAUUUCUCAUAGUUGCUCAAGAGUAAGAUAUAGACUAAGGGUUGCCUCCAGUGAGAAUUGACAGAAUCAUCUGGAGGCUUGCCCUACCAUGGAGGUCUGGGGUCUCCAGGCAGGCCUCCCUUCCUGUCUGUACUCUUCCUGAGUUUUUGACCAAGUGUCCCCUACUCCUGGCCCCUUCCUCCUAGUAUCCCUGAUCAAUACUGUUGAUAAAUGGCUCCUGCUGAAGAGGAAACACCUUCACUGGGUGUCAGAGUCACUGUGAACCUGGUGUAGUGACAUUGCCAGUGCCCUGGGCAUCCCUGUGGCUUUCUACCCAUUUUCCUGUGCCCAGUCCAGGAGGCUUCUGGGAAGAAUUUCUGCGAGUGCUAGACUCGUCCCUGUUGAGAUAUCUGAAAUCACCCAGAUAUGGGCAGUGCCCAGUGGACAUUGCAAACGUCCUUACACUGGCUAGUUUGCUGUCUGCUCCACCCAAGCUAAAGUCAUCUGAGAGCAAGGGACCUCAGUCAGGAAAAUGCCUCCUUAAGAUCAGGCUGUGGGCAAAGCCCGUACUGCACUUCCUUAAUUAGUGAUUGAUGGGAGAGCCCAGCCCAUUGUGGGUGGUGCCAUCCCUGGGCUGGUGAUUCUAGGUUCCCUAUAAGAAAGCAGGGUGAGCAAGCCAUAAGGAGCAAGCCAGUAAGCCUUCCUCCGUGAUGUCUGCAUUAGCUCCUGCCUCUACGUUCCUGCUGUGUUUGAGUUCCUGUCCUGACUUCCUUUGGUGAUGAACAGUGAUAUGGAAGUGUAAGCUAAAUAAAACCCUUUCCUUCAUAAGUUAUGUUCAUCAUGGCAUUUCAUGGAAUCAGUAGAAACCCUGCUAAGACAAUCCUCUGUCAGUCACCCCACCACUACCCCUAUUUUCCUAUUUUACUUUACCUUUUAACGUGCAGAGUUUUAAAAUGUUUUGUUUGUUUGUUUGUUUGUUUUUGUAGAUACUUAUUUCCUGUGUAUGAAUGUUUUGCCUGCACGGGUGUAUAUGCACCAUGAGUGUGCAGUGCCUUCAGAGGCCAGAAAAGGAUGUUAAGAGUUUCUGGAACUGUGGUAACAGUUGUGAGUUGCUGUGUAGUGCUGGAAACUGAACCUGGGUCCCCUGCAAGAUCAACAGCGAGUGCUCUUAACCACUAGGAAAUCUCUCCAGCCCCAAGAUGUGGAAAAGGGGUUACCCAGAGGCAGCUGAGAAAACAGUUCGAGGCUAUUUACAGCAGGGAAGGUGGUUGCCUUGAAAAACUCCAGUCAACCCGUCUCUUCUGAUGCCCUGUCAUCUUGCAGGGAAGAGUUCCUAGCAUAUACCUGGGAUGCGCGUCUCAUCCAACACCAGCUUUGCUUUAAAUGAUAAGGAACAGCUCGGCGUGUGACUGUGUUUUUAAAAGUACUUCUUUUUCUGUCGUGUGUGGGUUUGAACUCAGGGGCUCAUACAUGGUAGACAUGUGCUCUACCUUCCAGGCAAUUCCACUUCCGAACCCUUCCCCCCCCUUUUUUAAUAAAGAUGUUUAAUUAUGGUAAUGUGCACACAGC
rnacentral:lncRNA from 1 species